AUUUAUAUUUAUACUUGUAAUAUAUUGUAAAUAAAUGUAUAGUCAAUAGAACAAUUUCAAGGUGAUACACUGAUGUCUAAUAUGCUGAUACUUAUUGUUUUUAGAUUCUGAGCGGAGCGUGUAUUGGUUUUAUAGCAGUAUUUAUUUUAUAUUAUUAUUUUUUUUAAUCAGUGAACAACUUUUCUGUCAGAAAUUUUUUCUC